rnacentral:rRNA from 1 species
GGCCCAGAUUCCUACGGGAGGCAGCAGUGGGGAAUAUUGCACAAUGGGCGAAAGCCUGAUGCAGCAACGCCGCGUGAGGGACGACGGCCUUCGGGUUGUAAACCUCUUUUAGCAGGGAAGAAGCGAAAGUGACGGUACCUGCAGAAAAAGCGCCGGCUAACUACGUGCCAGCAGCCGCGGUAAUACGUAGGGCGCAAGCGUUAUCCGGAAUUAUUGGGCGUAAAGAGCUCGUAGGCGGUUUGUCGCGUCUGCUGUGAAAUCCCGAGGCUCAACCUCGGGUCUGCAGUGGGUACGGGCAGACUAGAGUGCGGUAGGGGAGAUUGGAAUUCCUGGUGUAGCGGUGGAAUGCGCAGAUAUCAGGAGGAACACCGAUGGCGAAGGCAGAUCUCUGGGCCGUAACUGACGCUGAGGAGCGAAAGGGUGGGGAGCAAACAGGCUUAGAUACCCUGGUAGUCCACCCCGUAAACGUUGGGAACUAGUUGUGGGGUCCAUUCCACGGAUUCCGUGACGCAGCUAACGCAUUAAGUUCCCCGCCUGGGGAGUACGGCCGCAAGGCUAAAACUCAAAGGAAUUGACGGGGACCCGCACAAGCGGCGGAGCAUGCGGAUUAAUUCGAUGCAACGCGAAGAACCUUACCAAGGCUUGACAUAUACGAGAACGGGCCAGAAAUGGUCAACUCUUUGGACACUCGUAAACAGGUGGUGCAUGGUUGUCGUCAGCUCGUGUCGUGAGAUGUUGGGUUAAGUCCCGCAACGAGCGCAACCCUCGUUCUAUGUUGCCAGCACGUAAUGGUGGGAACUCAUGGGAUACUGCCGGGGUCAACUCGGAGGAAGGUGGGGAUGACGUCAAAUCAUCAUGCCCCUUAUGUCUUGGGCUUCACGCAUGCUACAAUGGCCGGUACAAAGGGCUGCAAUACCGUAAGGUGGAGCGAAUCCCAAAAAGCCGGUCCCAGUUCGGAUUGAGGUCUGCAACUCGACCUCAUGAAGUCGGAGUCGCUAGUAAUCGCAGAUCAGCAACGCUGCGGUGAAUACGUUCCCGGGUCUUGUACACACCGCCCGUCAAGUCAUGAAAGUCGGUAACACCUGAAGCCGGUGGCCCAACCCUUGUGGAGGGAGCC